AUAAAGCAGCGUUGUCAUCGCCGAGUGUGGCAUAUCUGGGAGAUGAAGGAAGAACAUAACACACCCUAUUAAAACCAAACGCCGUCCCGGCCUCACAUGGCAACGCUGGGAGGAAUGCACCGCCGCCGCACGGACGUGACAUUAACAUGGAAUCUGCUCGGUUGACGUGUGCAAAAAGCAGAAGGGAAAAAAAAAAGAGAAGAGAAAGGCAUGUGCCACCGUGUCCCCAAGCCCUUGACACGUGUCUCAGAAGCGGGCAGUGCCACCGAGUCCGCGGGGCUGCACUGGUUUAACCUCGGUGUCAACACGCCGCAGAGGCAGCAGCGCCCAUAGGAUCCACGCUUUGCAAGGCAGAGUUUUCCAGGCUGCACCUGCUGCCCCAUCCCUGCCCCACAGCACCUGCAGGAUGUGUCCUCGCCGCUGUCCCUGUCCCCAAGGAGCUCUCCUGCACGUUCUGGGUGCCCACUCCCAAAUCCCAUUGCACCAGGAGGUGUUGGGGCCUCCAGGAAAUCUCUGCGGAGCACUCGUGCAUUUGAGUAGCCUCAAGCUGGAGCAAACAAAGCUCAUGCAAGAGGGGCCAUAAAUCCAACCAAUCUCCGUUGCAGCAGUCCAUGACAACCACGGCCAUCACCAACUGGCUGCUGAAAUUGAGCGAUGCUGCACCUCAAGCAAUUAUUCCAUAGACAGAACCGGCUCCAUCCAGCUGCACUUUGCCCCUCUGUCUUUUAGGAUCCCUUGGUGAAGAGCCCAGCAGCUUCCUAUAGGCCGUGGCACCGCUCAUGGCAUUGCAAAGGGGGCUGCCCUCCACCCACACCGAGGGGCUGAGCGCCCGUAGAACCACCGGCAAGCUGCGAGCGUGGGGCUGCUCCUUGGCAGUGCAAGGGUCGGAGCGAAGGGGACAAAUUCCAGCCAUAAAACAAAAUAAUAAAGUGCAGAAAAAGGAGUCAAGGUACAUGGGGUGAGUCACCCGCUUGGAACUUUCAAAAGGAAAC